UCAGACGAUGCGUCAUGCAUAUCAAUAAGCGGAGGAAAAGAAACUAACAAGGAUUCCCCUAGUAACGGCGAGUGAAGCGGGAAGAGCUCAAAUUUGAAAUCUUAAAGGGUUUCCCUUUACGAAUUGUAGUUUAAAGAAGUGUUUUCUGUUGAGGUUUUGGUAAAAGUUCUUUGGAAUAGGACAUCAUAGAGGGUGAGAAUCCCGUAUUUGACCUUUACUUUCAACUUUGUGAUACACUUUCAAAGAGUCGGAUUGUUUGGGAAUGCAGUCCAAAAUGGGUGGUAAAUUUCAUCUAAAGCUAAAUAUUGGCGAGAGACCGAUAGCGAACAAGUACCGUGAGGGAAAGAUGAAAAGAACUUUGAAAAGAGAGUUAAACAGUACGUGAAAUUGUCAAAAGGGAAGCGUUUGACACCAGUGUUGUUUUCCUGAAAAUCAAUUAAAGAACUGUUUAUGCUAAGCUGUUUAGACUUUAUCAGCUAUCUGUUUAGUUUUGAGCUUUUCUUUAAUGCACUUUUCAGUUAACAAGUCAACAUCAAUUUCUUUUGCUGUAAAAAAGCUUGAGGAAGGUGGCUUGAGAUUCGUCUUAAGUGUUUAUAGCCUCUUGCCUAUGCAGUCGGAGAGAUUGAGGUCUGCAGCGUAGAUCCUUCGGGGCUAAAUAGCAUUUGUGCUAAGUUAUAGCAUUUUAUAGACAACUUGUUGACUAUGAUUUGUCUUGUAGCUUACUCGCUUAUGUUAUUUUACCUACGCUUAGGAUGUUGAGCGCAUGUCUCUCUCU
rnacentral:rRNA from 1 species